GAUGAACGCUGACAGAAUGCUUAACACAUGCAAGUCGAUGGGGAAGUGGUGCUUGCACCAUGGCAACCAUGGCGGACGGGUGAGUAACGCGUAAGGGACUUACCUGCAGGACUGGGAUAACAGGGGGAAACUCCUGACAAGACCGGAUAAUGUCAUGGAGCUGCAUGGCUUUAUGAUGAAAGGAGACGCCUGCGGAGAGCCUUGCGUCCUAUUAGCUAGUUGGUGAGGUAAUGGCUCACCAAGCCGAAGAUAGGUAGCCGGCCUGAGAGGGUGGACGGCCACAAGGGGACUGAGAUACGGCCCUUACUACUACGGGAGGCAGCAGUGGGGAAUAUUGGACAAUGGGGGCAACCCUGAUCCAGCAAUUCUGUGUGCACGAAGAAGGUUUUCGGAUUGUAAAGUGCUUUCAGCAGGGAAGAAGUAAGUGACGGUACCUGCAGAAGAAGCGACGGCUAAAUACGUG
rnacentral:rRNA from 1 species